UUGGAGAUACUCGAGCUAUGGGGCCCGGAUAAGCCUCGCCUGUUCCCUGUGAAGCAUGACCGGACAUGAAGUUCCACGUGGCAAACUAGCGUCCGUUCACAGGCACGACGAUGGACACGCGUCAUUACGGCGGACCGCACGAGGAAGCCUAUGCUUGAAAGGAACAGGACUGGAACGGUCUCGAUUAAUUCCGGCGUUGCGUUAAUUACCUAAUCAUCUAAUUAAAUUAUCGCACUGCUCUUUCUACCUGCAAGGUUGUACACGUUUAGCCACAUGCGUUGCUAUUGGAGAGAAAGAUGGGGACCACUGGUGACCCACCUGCGCUCGUCCUCCGACUUCUACAAAAUUGCAGUCUGACGCUGAGUGGGUAAGCCUCACACGGCAACACUAUUUUUGUAAGAUGAGGCUCCACCUCCGCUAAUGACCAUCCUAAACUGAUUCUUGUGCAAGAAAAGGAGGAUAAGCUUUUUGCUUUUACUUCUUGUUGUUGGUUUUUAAGUCUAUAAAUUGGUGUGCCGACGGCGCAGUCUUCCGUCGCUUAUCCUUUCGGCUAUUUUCUCUUUUUCCUCUUAGAGGAGCAACUGUGAUCGGAGCAUCUGCAUCGCCGACAGAUCAGAACCGUCGCGUUCUUUGGAUUUUCGGUGAAGGUGAAAAGUUGAUAUCGAUCGGACGGAUGUCGAUCGCACUGGAGAAACGGGGCGACAUUGGCCGGUCGGGGCUUCUCCAGCGGCCCGCCUGCUUCCCAAUCUACGAGGUGCCAGAGGCGGCGGCAAGGCUUGCGGUGGCGGGGGACGGCGGCGAGGACUCCUGCAGCUCUUCGUCCAUCGGGAGGAACAGCGACCUCUCCGCCGGUGGAUCGGGGUCGGACGGCGGGGAGGCGGAGGUCCAGAGCAGGUUGAAGGGGCCACUAGAGACAAUGGACGCCCUCGAGGACUCACUGCCCUUGAGGUAUCCUUCUUCAUCUAUGCAAAAGUUCCUACGUUGACUAGCUUCUCUUGAAUGCUUCGGAUUAGGUUCUUGCUUUCUUGGUGCAUUUGGGUGAAAUGUAACGCGGGUAAUGUUUGUGAGAAAUGUUUUCAAGAAACAUAAUGGUGCUGCCUUUUUGUUCUUGAUGUAGCAAAUAUUUCUAGAACUUGUUUAGCCGUUGUUACGAUUAUCGUUAUGAUUGCUUGUUAUGUAUUAUAUUUUAGGGUUUGAGUUGUUCUUUUCUUGAUAUUGCUUGAAAUUUCCCCAGAUAUGAGUUGGAUUUGUGAAUUAGGGCCCUUCAGAAAUUGUGCCUAUCCAACGCUUUUAGAUUGCCCAUUUCUUUAUAAUCAGCAGAUAUCCAUAUCAGUUACUAGUGUCUGAUAUCUCACUCUUCUUUGACCAAUUUCAUUGGAUAAUUCAAGGGCUACUAUUUCAUUUGGUAUCUUAUUUCUAUCCCCCUGGUAUGAGUUGACUUUUGAGAUCUCUACUUAGAAGACAGUUAGCAUUGAACUCUGUAAUACGUGCGAUGCAUACAUCCUGUUGAUUUUUCAAAUGUUACCGUAAGUCUCCUAUACAAGCCUACUACAGACAUAAAAGUAAGGAUUCUCACCCGAAGUCUGGGGUUAUAAUAUGAGACCAGAGGGGCUUUUAUUUGUGAUUCUGGAGCAAUGGAGAGCCUUUUAAUGCCUUCUACAUAUCUUUAUUGUUUUUGACAAAAGUUUUUGGUCCUACUAUCGCUCGCUAAUCAGCUGUGAUCGAGAUUGAUAACCGGAAAACCAUUUUGAUGUUGGGAUGAGUUGGAACGAGAUGCAUUUAACUUUGGGUAGACAAAAUCUUGGAUGAGUUUUGGCAUCAUUUUAUCAACAGGAUUAAAUCUUCAUCUUAUUAUAAUGCAGACAAAAUUUAAGGUUUUUAAAAUGAUUUUCGCCACAUCUACUGAGCAGAAUGUCACUGACAUAGUAAACCAAUCAAAAUGUUGCCAUAACACUUUUGUUUGUAGAGCAUGAGAUGCUAGAAUAGUUUGCAUGUAAUCUUACACUAUGAGAUAGAGGUCAGACAUCAUCAAUUCACUAUUAUCUGAUGCAUACUAAUUUGGAGUUUAGUUUUCAGUUUGUUUUAGCUUAGUUUUUUAAAAGACAUAAUAUAUUUAAUAAAUUAUAAAUGUUGGCUUUGUUAGAAUUAGUUUUAUCUUAUCACUGACAUCAUGGGACAACAAGAUAAUAUUUUAUUUUAGAAAGUUCGAUGAGUUUUGCCAGCUGAAAAUAAGAUUAUGUCCUUGUCAGAUAUUUACAGUAUUGACAAUGAAAUGAUGGAUUUUUUGAAUGACUAAUCCUGUGUUUUCUUGUGAUGGGUGUUCUCCGCACCUUCCAAUCCAGUUUCCCUUUCACUCUUAAUUCGUUGAAUUAAUUAUCUUGGUCUGGUGAUUAAUGCUAUUCCAAAUUAGAGCAUGGAUUUGAGGUUCCAUGCCACUCCAUUUUGCUGCAGUACAUAUUCCCUGUACUUGGACAAUGGAUCUAUUGUGUUUGUUGUCUCUAGACAUUAUUGGAAAAUAUUAUCUUUGAUCUGAAGAACAUUUCUCAAAGAUGACCUAGGAAGAUCUUUUCACUCAAAGGAUUGUGCUAGUGAUUAGAUCUUCAGAGAUAGGUAUAGAUGGCAUGUCCAUCCCUUCAUCAUUGUAUAGGGAUUUCAUUUGGAUUAGCUCUUCAGCUGCACGCCACAUUCUUUUUUCCUGCAUCUUAAUGUGAUGGUGCUGUAUCUAAAAUGCAUUUUAGGUUUCAUUUCUGUAUUUCACUUCCCUACCUAGUCAUUUGCCAUACAAAUUAGGUUCAACUUUGAGGAUUGAUUUUACCAGAUUGUGUUAAUUGAGAUAUCAGUGAGGAUGUUAACAAUAGAUAAGUGAUUCUGUUGCAUGGAUACCUGAUCCAUGCUAAUGUAGUUCAAUACACAUACGGGCAGCAGUUGUGGUGCAUUUGUGUCCAGUCAUGGUGGUAUUGAGAUAAUAUAUUAUUAUUAUCCAUGUUUUUACCAUCAUGUAAGGAAUUAUAUUAAUUGACAUAUUGUUGACGUUACAUACUUUGUGGUGCAUUUGUGUCCAGUCAUGGUGGUAUUGAGAUAAUAUGUUAUUGUAAUCCAUUCUUUUACCAUCAUGUAAUAAAUUAUAUUAAUUGAGAUAUUGUUGAUGUUACAUCCUUUUAGAGAACUGUCUAUUCGGUAGGAUUCUGAGAGAUUUUAUGAAGUCUGCAUUUCUGAAUGAGGCUGAUUAUCAUUACGUACAUUUGAUUUGCAUGAAGUAGAACACCAUGGAUUAUUGUUCAUGAAACAUUUCAUCAUCCACGACAUUGAUGCACCGAGUUAAGGGCAUCAUGCUACUUACUUUGGGAAUGAUUCAAAAAGACUUUGGAACAUUUUAUUGCAAUGGUAGUGACUAGAGAGAUGAACUAUUGACACUUGGAAAAAAAAAAAAAAAGGAGAUAUCAAGCAUAUAAGUUGGCAAUUGUUGCCAUAGUAAUAGUAGGCUUUUGUUUCUAGAUUAUAUUAAGGCCAUAUGGUUUAAUGAGUCAGCAUGCCUUGAUUUCUCUCUCUCUGCAGGCGUGGCAUCUCCAAGUUCUAUACCGGCAAAUCCAAAUCUUUCACAAGCUUUGUGGAUGCCAAAUCAUCUUCCUCUUGUAAGGAUCUUGCAAAAUCUGAAAAUGCUUAUACCCGCAAGCGCAAGAAUCUUCUUGCCUUCAGUGUUCUAUCAGAUAAGUCUAGCAAGCUAGGAAACAUGGAAGGGCGUAUUUCAAAAAGACCUGCCAGUUCCAGCCGAAGCAUGCUAAGCCCGAUCCUAAACAGUGCCAGCUCCAGCAGCAACAGCUUCAGCAGUGAAGAGGAUAAUGUUCUGGGUCAUCUUCUUCCUCCCCCUCACCAUCAGGGCAAAUAUUCUGGCGAUGCUACUUCAGCUACUGCUGUUUCUCUUUCAACUACUCCAUUCGGUUCCUCCCCGAUGAGAUCAUUCUCAGUGACAGAUCUCCACGGCAUCCUUCGUUCGUCCUCGAUUCAGAUUCAGACAAGGGAUGACCACAAAAAGAAUCAGUAGCUCAAAGAUGUCUCUCUGAAUUGAUUUGGUCCCAUGUCCCCUAUUUUUUUGGAUCAUGGGUUUUCAUCUAUCUGCUUGGUGAUUGUCAGAUGGUUGAUUGAAUGUUUGUACAGGGGAGGAAAUUUAAGUUUGUUUUUGCUAGACAUGAGAGAGUGUCAUAUGAAUGGCCUGACUAGGUCUCUAAUUUACAGGGGUCCUCCUGUCUAUCUGACUCCUUGUCCUUGCAUUUAUAUACUUGUUAUGCCCUGCUCUUCCAUAUGCUGCGUUAUCACCUGAGGAAGACCACUGACGUGGAAUGAUGCAUCUGAUGUAUGGUUUAAUUUAAGCUAUACCAUAUCAGGAGGUGUGGUUCAAUUUGCAUUUUUGUUGGUAAAGAAAAUUGUUUGAAAAGAUGUUUCGAAACUUCUAACCUUUGAUGAGUGAUAAAUUCGGUUCAUGAUAGGCAGAUCAAUGCUUUAGUUAUUGUGUAAGUGCAGCUGAUUCAAAAUUUUAACAAGUGCAACAUUUGAAAUUUUGAUGCACAAGGAGAGUUAGAUUACCUGAGUUAUCCAUGCCAAAUGAAUGUCAUUAGCACAUUCUUAAUUGGUUUAAUAAUAUUAUAAACGACAUAUGAAUGUUCGUUGCAAUUCAUGAUGGAUUAUAAAGGGCUUCGCGGAAACGAUAUUAAAAUGUUCUAAUGUUUCCGGUCUCCAAAUGAUACAAUUCUUAUCACAAUAAAAAGUCAUUGAUGCAUAAGAAAUCUGAAGGAAAUGAUGACAUUGAAAAUUUUGCUCCAGUAGGUUGAUUCAAGAUUCUGCCUCCAUUAAUUCGGGAUUGUCAAAAAGAUAUGAUACAUUCUAUAUGAAACCGCAACGCAAAUAGAAGAUGGAACCAUAUCAGAUGCGUAAGAUGAAAGUGGAAAGGAUGCAUGUGGAGGUAACAUGUACUACGAGUAGUAGUGAUAAGUCAAUAUUUUAUCCUUUCGGGCUGAGCAAAAUAUAUAUAUAUAUAUAUUUGAAGGGUCGUAAAUCUUUAGUUCAUCUAUUCUUGAACCAAAGUAAGACUAAAUGUACUUAUCAAUGACUCCCUAGCAGGGAGAGUCAAGGGCUCAUGACCCUUCAAGAGGAAUCCAAUAUCGCGGAGGCAUAAUGUCAAAUACAUCCAAGACAUGUAAGUCAGGAUGAUCCAAUCCUAAAUAAUCUUGGUCAUAAGAUAUUCGAGAGGAACAUCGAGAUAACCGGACAUAUCGAUAUGCUAUAUACCCGUCCAUAUGAUGAAGGUAACUGGUCUUAUAGCUGCCCGUGUGGGGACACUAUGGAUAUAGUAUAGGUGCUCAUUGGAGAAUAAGUUCACUAAUUGAUCCACUCACGGAAUACUGGAUGGUUGAUGAUACCUCAUUAUCAGAUAGCGAUUUCAUCGGUCCUUAAACUUUAGACACCAAGGAUAUCCUAUAUGAGUACUUCAUUCUUUGAUAUCGAACUUAUAGGUAUGAAAAUUCUAGAUCUAGCACAAUUGGUCAUUGGGAGUGACAGUCAAUCUUAUGAGAACAAUUGAGUGACUAUAGAAGAUCAUCCGCUCUCGGUAUCAUAAGAGGAAUAUCUUAUGUAUUCUUUCUCAAGCAAAUCCCUAGCUAGGGUCAUUCGGAUUGAAAGAGAAAGAGUUCUCCUAGAAAAUCCGAUUAGAGCGAGAUUCGAGUAGAUUCCGUAUGGGCUGACAACACCAUAUCAGGUAUAUGAUCUUUGGGAUAUUAGAUAAAUGAGGGACUAUAGAGACACGGUAACUAAGGACAUACAAGUCCAAUGGAUUGGAUUCUCUUGUAUCGUAUGGGGACUACAGCGUAGUGGCCUAGUACAUCCAUAGUCAAUGAGUUGAAUGAAUAAUUCACUGAGCCAGAAGGAGUUCUAAUAGGUAUGACUCACAACCAUAUUGAUAUUGGGCCAAGAGGGUCACACAUAUAUAAUAAGUGUUGCACCGAGUAGAGGUUUUGAAUAUAAGAUAUCCGUUGAAACUCUUAUUUUAUUGGAUAUCCAAUGAACUCCUUAAUUAUUAGAUUUUAUGGAUAAGAUCAAAUAAGAGCCAAUUAAAGAUUAUUGGAUAAAGAUCUAUUAACCCAAGAUGCUUGGAUAAUUGAAUAGAGAUCUAGUACUCAAUAUGACAAGAUUCAUUAUAGUUAAAUUGAUAGGGACCUCUAUAAAUAGCAAGAAACUAAAGGGAAAUAGGCUAGAUAAUUUUUGGCUGCCACCUCCUAUUCUCCUCACUCCCUCUCCUCCUAAGUUGAUAGCCCCAGUUUAGGGUGUGUGGAUAGUAAGAAAGGUCAACCCCUUCUUGAUCAUGUGAUGUGCAUGGAGAGGAAGAUCAUGCACCGAUUUGAGGGGUGUUUUUAUCACAUCAACUAUAUGGAUCAUCAUUAGAGAGGAGGAUAGUUGACCUCCUUCAUCCACUCCUAUAGAUCUAGGAUUUUACAGGGAUAUAUGAUUUCCUUAUGUAACAAAUAUGUCUUGAUAUGCGUGAUUUUCGUUUUGCGUUUUCGAUUUUACACACUAAUCUUCGCACGAUAAUGAAAUAUUUUUUUCUUUGUUCCUUUUCUCUAGCGGUGUCUUCAUCGGUUGAGGAUCCUUUAAGAGUCCUUUUUCCUUUAUUUGGAAAAUGACUUCAGUUCUAGUCAUGUUCAAAGGAGUCGACUUAAACCUUAGGUGAGGUAGCUCGGGUUAGUCUUUUCUUCUUCCCAAUGGUGACCUCAAGGUCAAGGUUUAUGGUAGUCGCUCCUAUCUUGGCUUUUUAUGUCUUCUCAUGCUUGCUUGAGAUCAUUGUCUUUGCGGCAAUGUACUGGUUGACCCUCUAGAGCAUCUUAGGUACCGUCAUCGGUAGCCUCUCCACCAAUGAUUAAAAAAAGCGAGAGAGCUUGAGCUCCAUCAUGAAAGCUUGUAUUACAAAUGACAAAUGAGCUUCUUGCACACCUCGGAUCUCAUUAGUGAAUCGAACAACAAAGUCAAAGAGUAUUUUUUCCUCCCCUUACCCGAGUCUAAGAAGUAUUACCACUAAUAGCCUCGGGCAUAUAUUUCCGAGGAAGUAGAGCUCAUACUCCUUUACAAGCUGAGCAAAGUAGUCGACCGGGAGUGACUUUAAGAAAGUGUACUAUUCUUAUACUAGGCCUCUUAAUGUUGUUAGGGAGGUACGACACAUCAAGAAGUUUGAGGUAUCAUACAAUGACAUUUGGUAUGGAAGACGAUAGUGUACUCUAUUAAGUUGGUACUAUCGUCAAAAGCCUCUAAUGAUGGGAGGUGAAAGUUUAUUGGGAUUAGCUCCUCUUGGAUGUUCCAAAUGAAUGAGGAUCGACUUGAGGUGGGGUCAUCCGGCCUUUCCCAUUUGGAUUGUUGAAAUUCUCGUUGCAUCUUUUUUAAGCAUUAGUCCAUUUGUCGUAGCUGAAUUCUUAAGGAGUCAUCCAUCGAAUUUGCUGACUAGGUCUUGGAUUUAGGCAGAGUAAAAUGAUAGUGCAGUAGUGCACUAAAUUCCACGGUUGGGGAGUGGGGCACUCUUUUGGUCGAUAGUUCUACGAGUCUUAGCCAAUCCUGAGAUGUUGGCACUACAUCGGACAGGGGCAUCCUAGUGAGUGUCGAGGUGUCGAGACUAACGAUCAGGAUUGAACAAGAGGAGGAGGUAGCCAUUGCAGUAGGUCCAAAAAAGCUUACAACCACACAUUAGUGCUCGUUCGGAAUCAUAUAUAUUAUUUAGUCACUAUCCCAACUCAGAAAAAGUACGUACAACUUUUAUUUUAGUGGAAAAAAUACGUCUCUUUUAGUCACUAAGAAACUAUUAACUGAAAACGUAAUAUUUUACUUAUAUUCAAGGAUCGUAGGUAAGACAUAAUGUGUACAAUCAUGACGCGUGAAUGAACGUCUAUUAUGCAUAUACAAUGCUUUCUAUUAUGUGUGGCCCCGUCAAGUUAGUCAUAUUGUUUGAAUAUUUUAUUUGAGAUUUGUCCUUAUUACAUGUAUAUAUUUAUGUAUUAGAGUUAAUUCUCAACUUAUAUAGUAUAUGCUUCUUUGUAUGGAAUGAUAACACAUUGCAUAAGCUCCAAAAGCAAAGUCAAUUUUGUUGGCAGCAUAAUGUUUUAAAUGAAUUUAACUUGUAGAAUUAUAACGAUUCUAAACCGAGAAAGAGUAAGAAAAGUGGGGAAAUGGUAGAUUAAGAACCACAUUAGGAGAAAUUUCAUGAAGACCAGUAAAAGCAAAGCUGGGUUUUAAUAUCUAUCCUUGUAUGGUUUGGAAACAGCAUUUCCUUGUAAAUUUGAUAAAGCAUAUCAACAAACGAAACCUCACAUUAUGUUAGAAAUAUUAAUAAUACCUUUAAUAUUCUUACCAUCAUAAUAUUUGGUUCCAUUUUUAUGGCUAAAAAAGAAAAUAACUUUUAUCUUUUUUUUUUCCAAAAAAAAACUGAAUAUAUUACUGUCUAAAAACAUGAACACUAUGCGAGGACCUCCAAAUUAGAGAUGUUUUGAAAGAGUAUGCAAAAUGUGCUAAUCAAUUACUGCUCUUAUUUCCUUCCCUAAAAACAUGACAAAAUUUGCAUUCAUAAAAAUAGUCAGACAAAUGCCAAAUACUCCUAAACAAAGUCAGCAGUCUCCAAGGUGGAUCCUCUUCUUCAUUUAACGCCUUGAUAAUGAGCUGAGAGUCAACUUCCACCUCUGACUUGGGAAUGCCAUCAUCACAAGCCUUCUGCAUCCCCCAUUUAAUCACCAUCAACUCAGCAGCCAGUUUGAGGCAAAAAUUAGCAUCCAGCCAUCACACAGCUCACCUCCCCUCCAAUCUAUAAAAUGACCCAUCAGUGUUGAGUUUAUAUCACCCUAUGGUAGGUUUAGAUCAGGUUACAUGCAUUCUGCUCACAACACUCACGCAAUAUCUGGAGAAUAAAGUUUUCAUUCAUUUAAGAAAAGAUGAUCUAAGUACAAUUCCUUUGUUCAUUUUUAUAGGCCCAUACAUAAAGAAAAUGGAAAACAGAAUAAAUGGAAGAAAAAAAAAAAGGCUAAUCAACUAAAAUAUAUUUUUUAUUAGGAAACACAAGUUUCUACAUAUAGCCUUCCUUCCAUUUAGCCUGAUGGUUCUUUCCCUUUUUUUUCUCUUCUUUGUCAAUCUAGGAAACAAUGAUAGAAAUGCAUGAGAUAAUUCAAAUGGCCUCUCUACUAUUUUUAUUUUUAUUUUUUAAAGCUCAUCGCAGCGAUUCAAUUAUGUUGAAAUUUUUCGUAGGAUUUUAUAAAAGAAAUAACUUAUGAAUUUAAUAUCCUAUUAGAAACAAUGACAACUUAACUUCUAUCAUGUAUAGUUUGGCCAGGCCACCUAAUAGGUAUAUGUUGUUUUCUUGCAUGGAGUAAAUUAGGUCAUGUUACUAAAUUGGUUUAUAAUGAAAAUGGAAUCAUGACCUGCUAUUAUUUAUUGUAAUCUAAGAAUUUUUUUUUCAAAAUGUAAGUAGUGAAGACUAGAUUCGAAUCCAAGACAUUGCGAUAAAUUAUCAAAAUCUUUACCAAUUAAGUUGAUUAAUAUAUUCUAAGUUCAAAAUUUAUACUAAUAUCUUUCCAAGAGAUAUGAGAUGUAAGCAAAAUUCAUACUAGCUAACACCUUCAAAGUUUUAUAUGUUAGGCUUGAAUGUUUAGUAAAGCGACAAUAGGAGUUUAAAUCGAUUUGGUUUUACUUAAUAAUCAUGAUUUAUAUUUAUUUUCCUAUUUAGUUUAGGUUAAAAAAAUUAAGAAUACAAGUUAAAGAUGGUAUGCAGUUAUCAAUUAUUUUAUUAUGAAAAAAAUUAGCAUUAUAUCUUGGAAGAGACUAUUAGGAUCGAGUCGACACUAAGAGGAGGGUGAAUUAGUGCAACGGAUAAAAACAGACUUGUCCUCUUCUUAAAGCAGCACUAGGCAUCGCUAAUUGGGAGAUCGGUAGGCAUCCUCACUUUUCCUCGACACCUUGCUAUGUUUCAUUAGUCUCCUUUGGGUGAUAUAAGAUUCUUCUAAAACCUUUAUACAUGUUUCAUGCGUAAUAUAUCAUCAUCGUUCGUCUUCUUCAAUCUCUCUUGCGGAUUUGGAGAGUAGAUGGGAGGUGUAGAGGGACUUCUCUUACGUUUCAUUGAAGUCAUGUGGGUUGGACUAAAUUUGGCCUGAUACAAAAGUCAAAGAAGUGUUUUGACUUCUUGAACCUUUGUUUGAAUUGUUGUUUGACUUUGGUUCAACUCAGACCUGAUUUCUACUUGUGGGCAUUAUAUAUUGAUUUAUGCCAAUUGUGAUUAUGCAUAUGAUUUCGUGACUUGUAGAACAUUGCAUUUAUUGUGGAACACUUAAAUAGAUAGCAAAUUUUGAGUCAUAUUAACAGAAUUAUUUUGGAGUGGUAUUCGAAAUUAGAAUAUGACUGGACUUUUAAUUGGUACAAAAACUGGUAUUUAAUUCUCUUAGGUACAAAAGAUUAAUGGAGAAGGCCAACAUCAGCUCUACUGUCACCUCAAGAAGUCGAGAGGAAGAACCACAGGUGGAGGAAGGAAUCACCACAGAGAGACCAGAUUGGACAUUACUACCACUCGAUCUCAUAACAAAGAUCAGCGAAGAACUUCCCAUCCCACACCGUCUUUGCCUUCGUGCCACAUGCACAACUUGGUAUCAUGCUGCAGUCUUGGACAUGGAUGUCCCGUCCCCAUGGCUCCUCAUACCCGAUCAUGAAAGUGAGCAAAGCGACUCUUGCACUUUCGCAUCUCUCCCUACUGGCCUCUUCUUCACGUACUCCCCUAUCCCCGAGCUUCGUGGCACACGUUGUGUUGGUUCUCAUGCUGGUUGGCUUGCGAUCGCCAAUGUUCACUUGGACGUCAGCCUCCUAAAUCCCUUAACAAGGUCUCAAAUCUACCUUCCCUCCUUCACCACCCUACCUACUGAUGAUCUCAUGCUUGAAUGUGACGUCUGGUCUAUGGACAAUCCAGCAACUGAUGUGCCUGCUUAUAACCCUUUUAAAGCAUUCCGCGAUCGCUUCAUUGGCAAGGUUGUCUUUUCCUCAAAUCCUACUAUCCAUAACCACGUCGCGGUGACACUCUAUGGUGCUUAUGGUGAUCUUGCCUACACGAAGGCAGGCAAAGAUGCGUGGCUUCUUCUUAAGGAACCAUCAACCAAGGAUCAUCAGUAUGAGGAUGUCAUGUAUCAUGAUGACAAAUUCUACUGUCUAUCAAAUGAAUGUGAAGUCGAAGCUUUUGACCUAAGUGGAGAUUGUCCCACUGCGGCACUCGUCGUUGAGAGAUUAACAUUUAGUGUUACAUACUUUCACGACAUACGCGGCUCCAAUCUCAGCUGUACGUAUAAAAAAUACUUAGCACGCUCGAGCACAGGAGAGUUGUUUAUGUUUCUAAGAUAUAUAAAUCAACCCGUUUUACCGAAUGAAAUGGAACUGCGUAGGCCAAAAAAAUUCAUGGUUUUGAGGGCUAAUCCCGAGACUAACCCUUGUUGGGCUGCUGCUACAAACGACUUGGGAAGUAUGUCAUUGUUCAUUGGUACCAACAAUUCCAUGUUGGUAUCAAAUGAGAAUUUACCGAUAGUACAUGGAGACGGUAUCUUCUUCAUCGAAUCCUACACAGUAGCAUUUGGCAAUGGCAUUGAACUACUCACUUCUGAUGUUGGAUGGUUCAAUUUGAAAGAAGAAUGUUCGGAUAACUACUAUGCAUCAUCUUGUCCUCAAUUCGACUUGGCAUCAGUCAUCUGGUUCACACCCUCACUACAGUGAUUACAAAAGAAAAACUGGUUCUGGUUGUCUUUGAAUAACCUAUUACUGAAUGUAGAGAUAUGUUGAUUGAUCAUUAUUCCUAUGAACAUUAUUAGUCUAGAGUUGAUUAACCAUCUCGAUGUUAAUUCAUUUAACUUGUGCUUUGUUGUGGGCAAGAAUAUAUUUUGCUUUAUAUUGGAAAUCAUAUUUGAUUGCACAAAGUUUCAAUGCCCUGAUUUGCAUGUCUUGAUGUGGCGUAGAAUAUGAAAUCGUAGAUACAACACAUAGCAAUUCAUUUUCCAUUAUGGAGAGACAACCUAAAGAUACAAUGGAACAUUGAGCCCGGAGCUUUGUUUAGGAUACUAACUAUACCGAUCCAUCAUUGUCGUUUUAUUGGAACUGGACUUCAUCAUUGGAAUUAUUUUAGCACUUAGAAAUUUAUGUGUUAGUCAAUAAAACUAGACGACUACUUAUCGCAGUUAGAGAGAGAGAGAGAGAGAGAGAGAGAGAGAGAAAGCACUUACGUUUUGAUCCUUUAAAAAUUAUGGUAUGGAAUUGAAACAAAGACUUGCAUGAUCGAUCGAAUACAAGAAGUCGAUGCAGAAUUCUAGGUUGAAAAUUUGGAAAAUUAGACCAUGUAGUAUCAAUCAAAUUCAAAGAAUUCAUAAAAGCAUCAAUGGACUUGGGACUGAGGUCUCUACAAAGUUUAAAUGGUAAAAGACACUUAGGCCAUUAAAAAUAUUAAUAUGUAUAUUAGAGGAUAGAUUGAUCGGUGGAGUUUCAUUUCUUUAAAAAAAAUUGUAAGGCGAAGAUGAGAAUUUUGAAUUCAUUGCUCUUUUUAAUGGGUCUCCUUGUGAAGUGCCAAGCUUAAUUUUUAAUUAUAAAAGCAAAAAUUAAAUUAUCCAGGUGCUUUGAUUGCCUCGAUUUUAUUCAAAGGGUUUUGAAUUUAUAUAAAUUUAACCUGCUAAAUUAGUAAGAAAACUAGAGUAUUUUUUAUCAAUUUUCUUAAAAAUUAAGAAAAUUAAAAUUACUCAACUUCGCCUACUUCGUAAAGGGUAUCAUUCCAUACAUCAAGCCAAGUAAUAGCCUUUGCCUUUAGACUUUUGGAGCAUUCAAAGUAUGUACUUCUUAUUUAUAAUUGAUUACUAAACUUCCCCUCUUUUUUAUUGUCUCUUUUUUUUUUAAAGAGAAUUAUUGCUUUCAAGGGGUUAAAUUUUGUCUCAUAACCCUUUCAUAGAUUUAGCCGAUUGUACUAUAUUUUUUUAUUUUUUUGUUAUCUACUCCUCUAAGUAAUAAAGGAUAUAAGAUACUUUAUACUUCAUUCCUUAGUCGAUCAUCAUCACUUCAAUCCAAAGUUCAUCACUUUGGAUUAUCUCAAUAAGAAUUUCUUUGACAUAGGCCUUAUGAAAUUCUCUCACAACUAUCCUUUUAUUUUAUCUUAGUAUUUGGAAUUUACUAUUAUAUUCUCUACUGCUUUGGCCCUCAACUAAUGUGUUCUCCUUUCAUAAAAGCAAGAGAUCAGGAACAACUAAGAAGUAUUACCUAUGUUAUACCAUGAUAUACCAUUAAGCUCAUGGCCCUAUUUCCAUUACUUCACAUUUGCAUCUUUUUUUCUCUAUGAUUGAUAGUUAUUGUCAUUGUGGUCGAGUGGCACUCUUUUUGGAGUCCACAUUCAAUCUAACUGAUGGAUUACUAGUAUAUACUUAAACAUACUACCCCUUGUCUACUAACGCACACAACCUUCAUCUGAUGUAAUUUUUAUGCAUGUAUCGAAAACCUACCUCUGUAAGACAAUGAUAUUCACUCCUUAAUUAUAUAGUCAUUCUUUUAAUGCAAAUUCAAUAUAUACAUGGAAGAUUUGUUUGUAUGAUUUCAUAGUACUUAUCCCUUGAGUUCAUAGUUUUUCUUAAACUGAAAAUUUAAUACAUGCACAAAAGAUUGAAAGUCCCUUGUCUGAAUGAUCAAGUCCCUGAUUAGACUUGUUAGUGUGUUGCUCUAUCUCAAAUUAUUCCAUCAUGAUCUACUACCCCUAUGUCGCUUCAUGGUGAUAUCUUUGUUGAAUUUUAGAUUUGAUUGUCAAACUACUUAAUGAAUUUGAAGAUCUAAUCUUUAGAGAAGUCAAGCGACAUAUGUGAACUUUGACUCAUAGUAUCAAUCACUAGAGUUGUAUGUUAUUAUUUUGGAUGAUUGAAAGUUAUAUUGAAAGAUCGAAUAUUAUAUAAGAGAAUUGGAUAUCAUAUCAGAGGAUUGGACAUAAUGUAGGAGAAUCGAAUGUUAUGUUGGAGAAGGAUAACUCGACAUAUCAAAAGGUAAGGCAAUAUGCCAAAAGACUAGAGGACAUGUCAAAAGAUUUAACAAUUCACCGAAAGAUUUAACAAGUUGAAAGAACCAUUGAUGUGUCGAACCCUUGGUCAAGUCAUUAAUACAUUGGUUGAGUUAUUGAAGCCUCAGUUGAGUCAUCGGGCCUAUACACAUUCUUAAUUAGGUCAUCAAUGAGUUGUUAUUUGGCCUCAAAAUGGGCUUUUAUGAGGAUAGGUUGCUUAAGCUAGUUUUCGUGCUAUUUUGGGCUCUUACUAGGCUUUAUAGCCUAGGCCUAGCCUAGGUGGUAGUAUUACUUAGAUAGGGAGUAGUAUCACCUGGCACAUUUAGAAUGGUCUAGACAAUGUUGAUUUAGUGGUUUGAUGAUAAUGUUGAAAGAAGUGAUAGUAAUAUCACCUUGGAACAUUUCUUAAGAACAAGGUUCAUUAUAUUAUAGUAUACAACUCAGUAUGGGCAAUAUGUACUAAUCCAACAGGGGAUCAGUAUGGGUGAUGCAUUAGCAUGCCCCUAUGUACCAUGUUAAUAUGCUUGGUAUGACUCUGUAUAGCUCGAUACAUAUCGUACUAAUAGCUAGUCGAUACACUAGCAUGGACUAGUAAGACAAACCGCAAGUACUUUUUCUUAAUUUGCUCUAUAUUCUUAGAACUUUUAAGAUUAUAGAUGCCCUAUUUAAGCUUGGUUGGUGGAGUAUCCAUCUUGAAAAUUUCAAGUGCUAAAUUUCUCUUUUAGAUAUUUGAGUUUCUUAUAACUUCUUGAGUUUGAGUUGUCUUUGUAAUUAAUAUGGGAGCUUUGACACAAGGAAUCUGAUGACAUAUUAUACUUAUCUAUAUACCUUGCCUGAUCAAUAUAACAACCAAGUUAUCAUCCUACAAUGAUCAUCACUCGGUACCUAUAGGGACAAUGACUUGACUCUAACAAAAUGGUCUAUAUUAUCAAAAGAAUAACUUGUUAUCCUUAGCAUUUGCACGAAAUACCUUAUUGAUAAUUGUAACAUUUGACGAUUCAAGGCAUAACAUCCUACUUAACAAUAAUUGAAUAUUUCGCAUAAAAGUUUGUAGAGUUAAUCCCCAUUAUGAUUUAACGACUACCCAAGCAUACCAAAAAAGGCCCCCAUGUGCAUUCUUGACUAUAUCUAAGAAAAUAAUCUUAGUUAUCUCUUGAAGCUUUCAAUAUUCCCUAGUAAUUUAGGUAUCUAAAGUACUUUUAUCAGACAAGCCCCUAUUGUAGUUUUUGUAGGACCUUCUAUGAAUCCUUCAUCUUUGUAGGGCCUUCAAUUUGUUCUCUCAUUUUCUCAAUAUCCAACCUGUGAUAAACGUAGAAGUCAUACCUAAUUUAGAUCUAAACACCCCAUUUAUCAUACAACUAUAAUAUGAUUUAUUAGUAUAUUAUAGAAGGUGUGAGUCAUUAGUGGUUAAGUGAAGGCUUUUUAAGCCUUAAAAGGAAAAAAGUAUAAAAGGUUAUUAAUCUUUACUUAUUAAAAGAAAAAUUACUAGUAAAAGCUGAUAGAGGAAUCACGAGUAGGAAUAAGUCAAGAAAAUCAAAUUAUUAUGCCUCUCUAUUGUUUUACCCGUGCUUUUCUCUUAUGUUUGUUUACUUAUUUUAAUUAGAUUUUAUAUAAUUAUUUUUUAUUUGUUAAAAUUUUAAAUUUUGUAGAAGAACUAAUCACCACUUUUAUAGUGCCACUAAGAUCCAAUGCAAAGGCCACCAUUAUCUCAAUACAAAUCAAUGAAAGCAAAGCAAUUUGAUUUAAACUCAGUGAAAGCACUAAGUAGUAUGAGUGGAGUCUGCUGAAAAGAUGAAAUAUGAAGUGGAAGCACCUAUUUCAUAGUGCUAUACUUAGAUAGAAGUCAAGAACUUUUACACUUGUAGAGGCAAUUGCAAAACCAUAUGAUUUCUUGCUUUUCUUGUUUUAAUGAGGUAAGAAUUAUCUCACAUGCAUCGUGUCUGAGUCAAAAGGAGCCUUGAGGCACAUGCAUAUGAUGUUGAUGAUGCAUUUUGGAGUACAAGGUAGGUUGAAGGGGAGUGUUUAUAUAUGUUUGCAAAGGGUAAGUCUUCAUAUAACCUCAUACAAAUCCUUAGGUUCUUUCGAAAUAAGUUAGUGAAAGUAAACACAAAGACAGACUAUUAUAUCAUUCUAAAAAAGCAUAACCUUAUAUCACAUAAGUAGAUAUUAAUUGAAAACACUCUGGUAAAUACAAUAGAAAGAUAGAUUUCGAAAAUUUAAAACGAUCACACGACAAAAGAGUGAAUGCAGCUUGGUACUCAUAAUUGAUGCUCACGAAGGCACAUGCAAUACCGAUUGUUAGUGAUAUGAUGACCUAUCUUUAGAUACUAUCGCAAGCCCCAUAAAAUCUGAUGCCACCUAAAGGGUUUUAGGAUAUUAAGAUAGCUAACAUUUUACAUCGCAUUUCUGCACAAGAAAAUCCUAACAAGUUUAAGUCGGGGGCUUUGUUUAUGGGAAUUUUUAUCUCUAAGUGUGUUACGAUUACAAACCAUAAAGAUCAUAAAAUUUAAUCAAACUUGAGUUAUCGAAGCUAAUUUAGGCCCCUUAUAUAUAUAUUCUGUAAGACACAUAUACAUAGAAAAGCACAGACAUUAACACCUUUGGAAACAAUCUAUAACAACAUGCUAACCUACAAAUUCUGUAAAGGGCCUUUGUGUUAUACUAAGAUUAUUCCAAAACAAGUUAGCUAUGGGAGUAGUAAAUCCCAAGUGGACAGACACAUGAUCACUAAUAAAUGGUAAAAACACCUAUUUACUAUAUUAGUUUGAUGGUGAUAGGAUAAAGAAAUACAUAAUUUUGUAUUCAAAAUUUUUCAGAAAUAACAUAUGAAUUUACUUUUGAUAUAAAAAAAAAUGGUGUAUGAUAGACCACCCAACCUAACUUUUCAUAUGAAUAGUUUGGCCACAUAAUAGGAAUCUACAGUUUUCUUGCAUAGAAUAAAUUGGGCAUAAGGAAAGUUUUAUAUAUUAGGUCCGGAUAUUUGGUAAGGCUAUAUUAUGAAUUAAAAUUGAUUUCGUUAUAAUUAAUAAUUAUGAUUUAUUUUGUUUCCAAUUUAGUUUAGGUUAAGGAUAGUAUGUAACUGUAGAAUAAUUUAUUGUGAAAGAAACUGAGAUUGUCAUUUUUGGGAGAGCUACAAUAUCCAUAUUAAACGUACCAUAUGGCUCCUCUCUUCUCAAACCAUCAUAGGGAGAAAACACAAGCGAUAGGAGAGAAGAGGUAGGGAUCCUCACUUUUGUUAGUUUAUUAUACCUUGCUAUGUUUCAUAGUUUCCUGCUUUCAUAUCAUGACAUGCAUUUCAUUGAUACCUUAUCAUCCUAUUUGAUGACCAAUAGAGAAUAUAUAUAAUAUGCACAAAUUGACCUAUUAAAUGGAAGGGAUUCAUUAUAAAACUAUUUUUGAUGUAUUUGACAAGAUGAUUAUUCUAGGAUGGUUUUGGACAUUCUGUCAAGCAUGAAUUUGUUUAUGAUUAUUAGCAAUUCUUAUGUUGAUAUUUUGAUUUAAGUCUUUCCUUUAUAAAUUUAAUUUUAUAAAUCAAUAUCGGUGAUUGUGCCAAUUAUGAUUAUACACAUGAUUUCAUGAAUCACAUAAUGUUGCAUUUAUUGAGGAACAUUUGGAUGAAUAGAAACAAACGUAUAGAGGGAUUUUGGGGCCAUAUUUAAGACCUAGAAUUCUCCUUUAACUAUUUUGUCUCUAAUAGUAUAUUAACCGAAUAAUUUUGUAGUUGUAUUCGAAAUUAGACUUUUGAUUUUUUCUCAUUCUUAUUCUCCACGUCCUACAAAACUCUCAAACACGAAAGAUUAUUGGAGAAGGUCAGCAUCACCUCUAUCGUCCCCUCAAGAAGUCAAGACGAAGAACAAUUGGUAGAAAAAAAAACCAUCGUGGACGUCAAGACUCGAGACUCGAUUGUUCUAACAUCCCCACAGAAUGUCCUUACAAUGAUUGGCAAUCAAAUUCUCGUUCCACACAAUAUCUACUUUGGUGCCACAUGCAUGACUUAGUAUUUUAUCUAUUGGGCUAAUCAUUUGUUAAAGAAUAGAUCAAAAUUUAACUUUUUAAGAGAAUUCGGUCAAAAACUUAAGUAAUUGAAUCUAAAUCUAGUCAAAUAGUUAAAAUACAGUAAUAAUCAAGUUUGAUCAACUUAUUUGAUUAUAAUAAAUUAAAUUAAUCAAUUUUAUAAUUGAGGUUACAAGUUUAAAAUUUUUAAUUUAUGAAGGAUAAAACUAUAAUUAUAUUAGGAUAUACGAAAAAAAUAUUUUAUUUAUGAAGAAUAAAAUUAUCAAAAGAACAUAGUUAGAAUUAAAAAAAUUUAUAAGGACAAACCUAUAAUUUUAAAAUUUUACCCUCAUAGUUGUAGCUAGUUCCAUCGCGUCCAUGUAUGUGGGUCGGUGAUGCAGUGAUUGCCCAUUGUUUACGUGAUACCUACCACCCAUGCCUGUAAUGGGGCGACUGUCCUCAUGUAGUCGAUCGAAGACCACGCCGACAGAAUGCCUCCGUGGUGCACUGCUAACCAAGCAUCGCCAAUGAAUCGUCCCACCGCGUAGCCAUGCACACGCGCUGACCGACAACCCCCAUAGUCAUCAUGGUACGCGAUUAUACCAGCACAUCCUGUUGUACAGACAUUGGGAACCAUGACCUUCAGCAUUCAAUUGAUAUUAGUCACAACCAGCAAGCUCUGCCAUAGUGGUAUUGCUGCAACCGCCACUGGUAGCGAAACUGUUGUAGGCACCAAACGUAGUGGUACUGCUAUAGUCAUCACACCCCAUUGUGCUUCCACUGGGUACACAGCUACUACUAGUGAUUCCUUAAUGAUACUGUUAUCGAUAGUAAACUGUUAAUCGUGGUCCAUCAAUCAAGCACAAGGAACCUCACAUUGCAUAGAAGCAGAUGAUAAGACAAACUAGAUAGAACAACAAAUCAACACUAUAGGUGAUUUGUUCAUGCAUUGUAAAUAAAAAUCAAAUAACACCUUUUUACAAGCAAAAUAUAUUAACAAAUGGAUCUAAAGUAUUUGAUUUUACAAACAUGGCUUUGAUACCCAUCGUGAGUAUAAAAACCAUCAUUAUGCUACUAUUAUAUGAAAAACCUUAAUGUUAAAAUUUAAAAUUAAAUAAUAAUAUAUUAAAUUUACAAUGUAUACCUUUCAAUAUCAUUUAGAAAGUUUUUAUCUGAUUUAUGGGUGCACCAUCAUUAAAUCCGAAAGUUAUAACGAUGUCGAUCUAUAAGGAGAACUAGACUCGUCUUUUUCUCUCCUCCUAUCCUUCAUAAGACUGCUAUGAGUGAUGGAUUUAAAUAUUAAAAGAGAUUGAGAAUAUAUCAGUAAUAUCAAUAACUAGUUGUAUUGGUUGUACUCAUCCCUAUAAAGUCAUGUUCUUUUAUAGGUGAGAACAGAGGAUUUAGGAUAAAUAAUUAGGAGAGUCCCUCCCAUCAAUAUCAUCCUUUAAGGAAUCCUAUCAUAAUUAGACUUCCUUUUUAUUGAACAAUAAUCAUAAUUAAAAUCUAAUCAUACUCAUUAUACAUUUUACCUAAUUAGAUAGGAUCACAUAAUCUAAUAGGAUAAUAUCAUUAAAGGAUCAUUUUUACGGGGAUGUCACGUAUCAUGAUGGCAAAUUCUACUGCUUAACAAAUAAGUGAAGUCCCUUUUAAUCUACGUAAAGUUCUACCCAGUGUGACGGUGUUGUGAGGUGGUUAUCAAUUUGUAUUCCCUAAUCUCUCCGAUUGUAAAGGAACAACAUCAUUAUUGUACUAAGGCCUACCAAUAUUACCAACUUUAUCAUUGUACCAAAGGUUAAUGUUUUUUGUGCUGUACUUGGAACAAAAAGAAGUUUCUCUUUAUUUUCUGAAUUUGCAUCUGUUUGAUCGAAGUUAGAAGAUAGAAGGGAAAUGAUAUGGUCCUGCUUCAAUUAUCAAAUCAUAGAUACAACACAUUGCAAUUGGUUUUGCUGUAUGGGGUGGCAACAUAAAGACACAUAUGGAUCACUGACCCGUUCUGCUCAGAAGCAGUGGAUGCCUUUUGCUCCUCUCAAAAGUAUGUGUUUUUGAUAGAUUUCUGUAUGUUCUUACCACACAUCAUUAAUUAUUCCAAUGACUACACUACCCUUGGAGUCUUAUUUGGUGAGAUUAGUAACAGGAAAGAAAUGAUGAGAUCUAUCUUGUCUCUAUAUACUUAUUAUCAUGCCAUUUUAUUUGGAAAAACCACUGGCAAUCAUCAUUGGAAUUAUUUCGACUCUUAGCAAUUUAUGUGUCAAAUAGCUACUGUUUCAUUUAACUCUGGUUAUCCUAGUGCUACAGGUAAAAAAAGAUACAUAUAUCUUCAAACUUACCUCAGAAAUUAUAGCAUAGAAUUGAAAUGAAAACUUGCAUAACAUAUCGAAUCCGAGAAAUGGAUGACCAAAAUGCUGGGUUGCAAAAAUGAAAAACUAUACUGUGGCUUUAUAACUCAAAUUUUGGAGAAUUCAUUGAGGCAUCAAGAGAGAGACUUUGAUUAAGGUCUCUUCAAAUAUUGUAAGUUGAAAGAUGAUCAGGUCAUUGAAAAUAUAGAUAAGUAGAUUAGAGACUGGAUUGAUCGAUCUAAUUUAAUUUGUCUUUAGAAACAUGUAAAUCCAAGUUGACAAUUUUGAAUUCAGAAUGUUUUUGGAUGGGUUUCUUUGUGUUAUACCAACUAGCAUGAACAAUAUAUUGAGUAAAUCAGACAAAUUGAGUAUGAUAGUAUGAACAUAUCUUAUAUAGUGUGAACAUCACCCGAACAUGGGUGAAAACAUCUUAUAUUCAUUGAGUUGAUUCAACCCGGUCCACUUCUCCAGAGUUGUCAUGUUUAAGAAUUAGAAUCUUGCAAUGGUUUGUCAUUCUCUCUAGGUGAUUUGAGAACUGUUUUAUCUUAUUAUGAUGCAUUGGGUUCGGUCGAUUCUAAGAUUAAGUUAACUUGAAGACGAGCCGAACGUAUAGUCGACUUGAAGACAUAUCGAACUUAGAUAUGAUCGGCUUAAAUAUGUGAUGGACUUAAGGAUGUGAUCGUCUCAAAAGAUAUAAACGAUAGAAAGUCACAAUCGACUAGAAGAUGUGACCGAGUUGAAGUUAUGAAAUAUUUGAGAGACACGACCAAGUUGAAGAAACAAUCAAUUUAGAGAAGUCGGUGUUGAUAUCAGUAAUGGUAGUAAGGGGAGUUUGUGAGUGAAUUAGUUCUAGUAUAAAUUUGACAAUCUUCAAAGGUUAAAAAAAAAAGGAAAAAAGUAGAGAACUAAUAUAAACAAGUAUGCGAAAGUGAGGUGCACAAAUAGAAGAUAGACACACCAAUUCAUAGUGAUGAAGAUUUUCUGACCUAUGUCGACAUCAAGCUUUCACUAUUUAUCUUAUUUCCAAUAUGUGAAUAUCAAUUAUCACUUACAACUUUUUCUUCUUCAAAACUUAGAAGUUUUAGACUUAGAACACUCAAGCUUUUACAAAUGUUUCGACACCUUCCAUGACGUAGCAAGCCUAAUAAAACUCAAAGCAAGUUUUUAGGAGAAGAUUUUCAACACUUGAAGAGCUCAAGGAUCUUUUUUUCUGCCAAUCUAAAAAGGAUAUUUAUAGGCGCAAGAGAUCCUAAAAACCUAUAAGAAUAAAGGGGGUAAGAUACUCUUUACCAUUGUCAUAUUAGGCAGUAUCACUGUCGACUUGAGUGGUGCCACUACUUGGCCUAACUGUCACUACUUGCCCUAGCAGUAUCAUCGCUUGAGCCUAUAUUAGCUUAGUACAAAAUCCAAAAGCCUUUUGGUUCCAACCCAAUAAUAAUAUAUUUUAGCCUAAUGACUCGACAUUCAAUCCUUUGUGUGUGUGACUAACCCUUCAGCACAAAGAUAUAUUCGACUCAUCAUAUGAACUUCUGAUUUAUUCGACUCAUCAAUCUAUCCUUCCACUCAACAACCUCAUCCUCCACAAUGUAUGCACCUUUAGUUAUUUAUGGACAUCUUGUUAUUUAUAUUUUUAUUCCAAAUUUCAAUUUUAUAAUUUAGGAAUUAUUUAAGGAAACUCACUAGGUGUUGGAAUUUGAGUAUCUGAUGUUGCAAAUCAAACUUAUUACAACAAUCUCUAUGUUUAAUGUUAUAAUUGUUUUACAAUUUUGGUUGUCUGUAAAGCUCGCUUUUUAUAUAAUCUGAUCAUUCCAAAUCUCAAUUAUGUUAUGAUUUUGCAGAAGUGUGAUUGGUUCUGAACUAAUUCACAUUGAAAACUGUAUUGGAAUCAGCAUACCAAAUCAUCAGUUAAUGAAAAGAACUGAAUUCAACAGUUUCCUGAUUGAAUACUGGUUUCCCGGUUUGCAUGGGAUUUGAGUUAAUGAAAUAUAUCCUAAUUUUCCCAAGUUGAUCCCGAAUCCAUCUGAAGUUGGCAAUAAUCCUAAAGAUCAUAGAUAGAUCAUUUAGCCCAAUAAUGGUAAAACAUCAUUAUUUCAUCCAUAAAGAUGACUAUAUUUAUCUUUUGACCCGAAUGAUCUCAAAAUCUUUUUCUUAACACAAAUGGCACAACUCCUAGCUCAAAAACUUAUCUAAAAGGGCACAAAAAAAGUCAAGAAUUCAUAGCUACUUUAUGGGUCCCAUAUCACUUAAUUUUUGAUAUUUAGGGGGUUCAUGGGAUCUAUAACUCAUAAAUGAGUAUAUAAUUGGGAUUGAUAAAGUUUUUUCCUCUACAAAUAACUCCUUUCUUUCAUUUUAAUUUUUCUUAUUUUUCUAUAUUAAAUUAUAUAUUAUUAUUUUUAAGGUGAAUUAACAACACCCGAUGAAAAAAAUAUAGUAUCACAAUUAAUCUCACAUCAAAAGUAAAUUAAAAUUAAAAUUAAUUUGUAAGUGUUUAAUGAGUGUACGACUAUUAACUUCGACUAAGUAUUUUUAGUCGAUUUAGAUUCAGUGAAAUUAAAAGACUAGUUAUAUUAGAAUCGGUUUGACAAUGACUUUAUAUGGUGAAAAAAUUACUUGACAUGCAUCAUACAAUAGUUUUGUGGAUGGACAUAUCAUUUGUAACAGUGCUAACCAAAGGUUCAACCUAAUAAUGAAGCUCCAACAAAUGCAAGGAUAGUGCAAAUUAAAUUUCUAUAAUGCUUAUGCUUGGACUUAAUUUGCAAUUGUAAUUCAUGAAUGGUCUAAAGCUUUCCCUCAGAGUUAGGAGAAGACUUCUUCAGGAGCCAAAAAUAUAGGCGAUUAAAAUGGCUAAACAAAAGUACAGAUCGACAUCUUGUUACAAAGAGGACCGAGUCACAAGGAAAUGGGAAACGAUCGUCCACAUCUUGUUUCAAACAGGACCAAGUCACAAGGAAAUGGAACCCAUGCAUGGCCUCUGGUUUGCUUGCUUUAUCCAUUCUCUUCCCCCCCCCCCCCCCUCCUUCCCUCCCUCCCUAUAUAAACACCCCCCUCCCUUCAUCCGUAAUCGGCCUAUCACAUCAGGAGCCAGGGCUCCAAAAUAAACAUCCUCCUUUCACUCCUUUGUAUCGCCAAUUUGAUGCACAGGCAUAUCUCGGAAUAAAAGAAUAAAAGAGAAGAUGUCGAAGGCCAUCUUCGGUGCUGUCUCGGCGGUCCUCCUCGUGGCCGCGGUGAUCGGAGUGGUAGCUACUGUUGUGAGUUCGAAUCAUAAGACCGAUGCUUCUGAGGGUGAUGGUUCACUUACCACCACGUCCAAGUCCGUCUCGGCCUUCUGCGCCAAAACUGACUACCAAGCCGACUGUGAACGCACCAUUGGUUCUGCCAUCAAUGGCUCUUCCUCCCCCAAGGAAGUCAUCCAAGCUUCUUUUCAGGCGGCCAUUGACGAAAUCCAAGCUGCCUUCCACCUGUCCAACAACGUAAGUUUGAAGGCGAAUGACCCGAUGAACAAGGCUGCGUUCAACAUUUGCCGGCAGCUCCUCGAGGAUGCCGAUGAGGAGCUCAAUGCUGCCUUCUCGGAGACUCAUGACCUUCAGGGUCUGGCGAGGAGGACCGAUGACAUCAAGACAUGGCUCUCGGCCGUCAUCUCCUACCAGCAGACCUGUCUCGAUGGCAUCACCGAACCGGAGCUCCAGUCCACCAUGAAGGACGGUCUAAGCACGGCCACAAAGGUCACCAGCAAUGCCAUUGCCAUUGUCGAUGAGCUUAGUUCAUUAUUAAAGUCCUUCAAGAUCCCGAUUAACAUAACCAUGGGCAGUCGACGCUUACUGGUCGAUGAGCAAGGGUACCCUUCGUGGUUCUCGGGCCAUGACAGGAAGCUCCUGGCUGCCCAAGCGCGAGGCCAGCUGACCCCUAAUGUGGUGGUUGCUAAGGAUGGGAGUGGAAAGUUCAAGACGAUCAACGAUGCCGUUAAUGCCAUGCCAAAGGAUUACUCUGGGCGGUACGUGAUCUACGUGAAGGCUGGGGUCUACAAGGAGAAUGUCAUCGUUGGCAAGGAUAAGGUGAACGUCCUCAUGUACGGUGAUGGAUCAAGGAAGACAGUCGUGACCGGGAGCAAGAACUACGUCGAUGGCGUGCAAACUGUUGAUACCGCGACCUUCGGUUUGUGCUUUCCUUACUUUCCCAUGUUAUAUAUGCUUCUACUUUACUACUGCACUACUGCAAUAGUAUAGAGCAGAAGGAAAGCUCAUGUUACUGGCAUUCCCCAGCUGCCCUCGGACAAGGCUUUAUCGCCAAGUCAAUGGGGUUCAGCAACACGGCCGGAGCAGAGAAGCACCAAGCUGUGGCGCUCCGCGUGCAGUCGGACAUGUCAGCCUUCUUCAACUGCAGGAUGGAUGCGUACCAAGACACCUUAUACGUGCAGGCCCACCGACAAUUCUACCGCAACUGCGUCGUCUCCGGGACGAUUGACUUCAUCUUCGGCGACUCCUCCACCAUCCUUCAGAACUGCCUCCUGGUGAUGCGACGCCCGAUGGACAACCAGCAGAACAUCUUAACGGCUCAUGGGCGAUCUCAGGCGAAGGAGACCACCGCGCUGGUGAUCCAGAACUGCCGCAUCGUCCCGGACAAGUCCUUGUUCCCGGAGAGGUUGAAGUUCCGCAACUACCUUGGCCGGCCAUGGAAGGCAUACUCGAGGACCAUCGUCAUGGAAUCUACCAUCGGAGACCUGAUCCAGCCUGAGGGUUGGAUGCCGUGGGACGGAGC
rnacentral:lncRNA from 1 species